GAAAGAAUGCUGAUUUCAUUUUAUUUUUUAUUUUGUUUAGAACAAGUUAAAGAUGAUAGAAGUAAAACUUUAAACAAAAUAAAUGUAACAGAGCAAAGAAUGAUUCAUGGGAAUUGGGCUUUGCUCUGAAACAUGGGCAGUGAGUAUUUACAGGCAGAAAAAGGCUGAAGAAUGCAGAAACAAAGAACACAAAGUGGAUUGGUUUUUUCAAAGUUACUUUCCUUGUGAAGGUUAAAGUAGGGGGACUUCCUUAUCAGGCAGGCUAAAACUGGCUGUUCGGAGAUGUGGCUAUUAUCUCCCUCUCGCUCCUGAUUUCUUGGAAGGUCAGAUAACAAUGUAGUUUUGGCUUGGUGGCCUGGAACUUUACCGUGAGUAACUCCAUUUUGGUUUGGUCUACUGGGGCCUAGUGCAGGAACUUACUUCAAACCAAUGACCUCCUAUAAAUUUUAUUUAACAGAGAUCAUAAGUUUAUGAGCCGGUAACUUACUAUAGCAUUCAUUUCUAAUUUAUAGUUAAAACACAUCCUGUUAUUUAUUUUUUUCACAUAAUUGUUGAAAUCCAACACAGCUACGAAUGAGUCUUAAUGUUUUUUAAACAUUUCUUCUAGGAUGUUGCCUUUCUCCCCAAGCCCCAGUUCUCUCUUGCUUGUAGCUUGCACUUGGUCCUCUAGAUGGCAAUAUACUAACAUAUGAUGUAAAUGAAACCAACGCAUACUGGAGCAGCCAAUUUACUUGGUUUAGUAAGAAAUGAUGGUUUUCCUACAAGUGGUGAGUUAGGACUAAAUCCAUGCAUCUUAUUGUGAAAUUAGUCAAAAUCAGUGCCAGGGAAUGAAUAGAUGCUGAAUAAAUAAGUACAAUAUAAUACCCACAAUGUACCAGAGAUCAAGCAAGACAGGUACUGUAGACACAGUCAGACAUAAGAAGAACUAUGAGUGCUAUGUGUCUGGCUUCCUGAUCUCGGCAAACCCUGCCAUUUAACAAGUGAGGAAACUGAGGAUUGGGGGAUCAGUAGCUUUCCUGGGGUCAUAUAACUAGAGAGAGGUGAAGCCAGGACUUGUCAAUGGUGAGGCUUCGAUGAUGAGCUUGAAUUUAAGAUAUGUCAGAUUUGAAGCCAAUGGAGCAUAUCAAAUUAGCAAAGUGCAGUGGAAACCUGGAACUCAACCUCAGGAUUAGGCCAAAGGUAUACAUUUAAGAGGCAUCUCUGUAGAGCAGAGUUGAAGCUGUAACAAUGUAGGAGUGGUCUACAGCAACUGUGUCUGUUAAAGAGCUGAUAACUGAAGUGUAAUUCCCAAAGACCAAGGUGAUAUGGCAGCGGGUAAAGGGCAUACGCAGUGCAGACAAACAUGAGUUUAAAUCCUGGCUUCAUACUUACUUGCUGUGUUGGUCAUGGGCAUUUAACUUCUUAAAUAUCAUGAGAUACUUAAUCUCUUUGACUCUUUGCAAUGACCGUGUGAGGGAGAUACUACCACCAUUUUACAGAUGAGGAAACUGAGGGUUAGAGAAUGUAGGAGUUGACCCAAGGUCAUGGUGCAUCUAGUACAUGAUGGAUCCAAGGUUCCUAUCUGGACAGUCUGCCUUAGGCUUACAGUGCUAAGCACCACAUGCAGUUUCCCCAAUCAUACACCUUAGGACACCACCUUUGUAUGUGGGUCUCGUGCCAGAGAUGAACGUGGGCGCAUGCACACGCGUGCAUGCACACACACAUGCAC
rnacentral:lncRNA from 1 species